ACUCCUGCGGGAGGCAGCAGUGGGGAAUUUUGGACAAUGGGCGAAAGCCUGAUCCAGCAAUGCCGCGUGAGUGAAGAAGGCCUUCGGGUUGUAAAGCUCUUUUGUCAGGGAAGAAACGGUGAAAGCUAAUAUCUUUUGCUAAUGACGGUACCUGAAGAAUAAGCACCGGCUAACUACGUGCCAGCAGCCGCGGUAAUACGUAGGGUGCAAGCGUUAAUCGGAAUUACUGGGCGUAAAGCGUGCGCAGGCGGUUUUGUAAGUCUGAUGUGAAAUUCCCGGGCUCAACCUGGGAAUUGCAUUGGAGACUGCAAGGCUAGAAUCUGGCAGAGGGGGGUAGAAUUCCACGUGUAGCAGUGAAAUGCGUAGAUAUGUGGAGGAACACCGAUGGCGAAGGCAGCCCCCUGGGUCAAGAUUGACGCUCAUGCACGAAAGCGUGGGGAGCAAACAGGAUUAGAUACCCUAGUAGUCCC
rnacentral:rRNA from 1 species